UGAGGAAUAUUGGGUCAAUGGGCGAGAGUCUGAACCAGCCAAGUAGCGUGCAGGAUGACGGCCCUAUGGGUUGUAAACUGCUUUUAUGCGGGGAUAAAGCGGGCGACGUGUCGCCCCUUGCAGGUACCGCAUGAAUAAGGACCGGCUAAUUCCGUGCCAGCAGCCGCGGUAAUACGGAAGGUCCGGGCGUUAUCCGGAUUUAUUGGGUUUAAAGGGAGCGCAGGCCGGGUAUUAAGCGUGUUGUGAAAUGUAGGCGCCCAACGUCUGCACCGCAGCGCGAACUGGUGCCCUUGAGUACGCACGACGUUGGCGGAAUUCGCCGUGUAGCGGUGA
rnacentral:rRNA from 1 species